CUAACACAUGCAAGUGGAGCGACGAACCAGGCUUCGGCCUGGGGCAAAGCCGCGAACGGGUGAGUAACACGUGGGUGACCUACCCCGAAGACCGGGAUAACCCGAGGAAACUCGGGCUAAUACCGGAUGUGCUCCGUCUGCUGCGGCAGGCGGUGGAAAGGUAGCUUCGGCUUCCGCUUCGGGAUGGGCCCGCGGCCCAUUAGCUAGUUGGUGAGGUAACGGCUCACCAAGGCGACGAUGGGUAGCUGGUCUGAGAGGAUGGCCAGCCACACUGGGACUGAGACACGGCCCAGACUCCUACGGGAGGCAGCAGUGGGGAAUCUUGGGCAAUGCGCGAAAGCGUGACCCAGCGACGCCGCGUGGGGGAAGAAGGCCUUCGGGUCGUAAACCCCUUUCAGGAGGGACGAAGCCCGGUCCGUGAAUAGCGGUCCCGGGUGACGGUACCUCCAGAAGAAGCCCCGGCUAACUACGUGCCAGCAGCCGCGGUAAUACGUAGGGGGCGAGCGUUGCCCGGAAUCAUUGGGCGUAAAGCGCGCGUAGGCGGCCCGGUAAGUCCGCUGUGAAAGCCCGGGGCUCAACCCCGGGAGGCCGGCGGAUACUGUCGGGCUAGAGUCCGGAAGAGGCGGGUGGAAUUCCCGGUGUAGCGGUGAAAUGCGCAGAUAUCGGGAGGAACACCGAUGGCGAAGGCAGCCCGCUGGGACGGUACUGACGCUGAGGCGCGAAAGCGUGGGGAGCGAACAGGAUUAGAUACCCUGGUAGUCCACGCCGUAAACGAUGGGCACUAGGUGUGGGGGGUAGCCGACUCCCUCCGUGCCGAAGCUAACGCAUUAAGUGCCCCGCCUGGGGAGUACGGCCGCAAGGCUAAAACU
rnacentral:rRNA from 1 species